rnacentral:lncRNA from 10 species
CCUACACAGAGGGCACUGUUCACCCUGCGGCCGCCUCCCUGCGCUCCAAGGAUCAGCCUCAUGAUAAGUUUUCCAGCUCUGGCUGUGACAAUGUGGAUUACUGGUGCCAUUGUUAAUUUUAGGUCCAUUUGACUGGGCUAAGGGAUGCCCAAGUAGCUGGUAAAAGAUUGUUUCUGGGUGUGUUUCUGGAAGAGAUCAGUGUUUGAAUCCAUAGACCGAGUCAAGAGGGUCUGCCCUCCCCAGUGUGGGCAUCAUGCAAUCUGCCAAGGACCUGCAUAGAACACAGACAUGGAGGACAGGAAAACUCUCUCUGCUGGAGGUGGAACAUCUCUCUUCUCCUGCCUUCAAACACUGGCCUCGGUGAUUCUUGGGCCUUCAAACUUGAACUGAAUUACACCGUGACCAGCUCUCCCUGUUCUCCAGCCUGCAGAUGGCAGACCAUGGGACUUCUCUGCCUUAAUAAUUAUGUGUGCCAAUUCCUAUAAUAGAUUUUCUCUCUCUCCAUCAAUAAUCAAUCAUGUAUCCAUCCAUCCAUCCAUCCUUCCCUGUCUCUCUAUCUUUCUAUCUAUCAUCUAUCUAUGUUAUGUUUAUCUAGAGAACCCUGACUAAUAAAAUUGGUUUUGAAUUUCAUUCUUUAAAGCAGUUAAAUUAAAAUGAAACAGAAAAGACAUUUCUCGUAUCUUCACUAUCAAUUUGAAAUUUUUUUUAAUCUUUCUGUUUUGACCCAGUUUAUUCAGAAGCAUUUUUCUUAAUUGCCAUGUAUCUGGC